rnacentral:rRNA from 1 species
UACGUAGGUGGCAAGCGUUGUCCGGAUUUACUGGGCGUAAAGAGCGCGCAGGCGGUCGUUCCAGUCGAGUGUGAAAGCCCCCGGCUCAACUGGGGAGGGUCACUCGAUACUGGUCGACUCGAAGGCAGGAGAGGGUAGUGGAAUUCCCGGUGUAGUGGUGAAAUGCGUAGAUAUCGGGAGGAACACCAGUGGCGAAGGCGGUCUGCUGGGCCGUUGCUGACGCUGAGGCGCGAAAGCGUGGGGAGCAAACAGG